CAGAAAGUAGUUUAUUUAAAAUAUUAGUUUUGGAGAUUAAUGAAAAGGUUUUCUUUUUUCUGA
rnacentral:tRNA from 1 species